UACUACCUGGACAGGGAUAAACAAAGGCCCGGUGGCACCGACUGGGGGCAUGAGGUUUUCAGGACACUGUCAGCCCAGGAACAUAACAAUGUUCCAUUUGGCCUCAAGGAUUCAAGUGUGGAGUCCAAACGCCAGACCCUGAACUUCCAGCGCAAGGCCAGGAGCUACUCCAAUGUGGAGGGGAAGCUCCACAAGAAUGGUAAACUUGUUAUGAUUCAGGAGGACUUCAAAGACAUCAUGCGUGUUUAUCAUGAUGCCGCCUCACACCCGGGCAUCACAGUAGUGAAGCGAAAGGUUUGGGGAAUGUGAGGUGAACAAGCUGAAAGGUUAUUUCACUGCCGUGAAGCCAUAUCUUCAGAGCCUUGCAGGAGGACAGAUCCCAGACAACGAGAGGCAUAGCCUCUUCUUCGGACGAGAGGAGAAUGGAUGGUCCACCAGAAAAAAACUGUGGGAUGUGCACCACUCAGGGGCCUUCACAGAGGACCAAGCAAACCUCGUGGACAAGUGGGUGAUUGAAGAGGUGGAUAUUCCUCUUCAGUACGAAAUGCGGUUGGAGUAUGGUGUGGUGGUAGUGCUUCCUGAAGCCUUGGCUGCAAUCUACCAGCUGCACAAAGGCACAGCCAGCCUACAAGAGGCUAGGGAUUGUGUCCGGAAAGCAGGAGUUCGUGAUUAGUUCGUGGGAGUAGACUAGAGUUGAACUUAGACCUGUUACUGGUCUGUAAGAUAAUACUAUUUUCUGUCUAGUGCUGUUU